rnacentral:tRNA from 1 species
UGCAGCGUAGCUUAAUGGCAAAGCCCCAAGCUCAUAACUUGGUCAUUGUGGGUUCACGUCCCAUCGCUGCGACCA